rnacentral:lncRNA from 1 species
GCCGUCUCAGCUGGGCGCCCUAGGGCCGUGUGUGCUUGGCAAGCUGCAGGGCCUCUGCUCCCAAAGCCUGUGCCUCCUGCCGCCAAGGCCCGCCUGGUUGCUGGAGACGGAAAUGAGAUGGCAUACACAGAGCUCCUGGUACAGGCAGUGGUCAGUUCCAUUCAUGUUGAAAGGUGUACCCCAGCCUCUCUCUUCCACUUUCCUCAGCACCAAGCCAACGCAGGCAAAUUCAUAGGUUUUCCUUAAGACAAUACCACUUUAGCCAGACGUGGUAACUCCCCAAGUUUCCAAGCACAGUUAGAGAUCUUCCUACCCUUCUGCUCCUAAGACAUGCCUGCUUGUGGCCAAUAGAGAAUGAGAGCAGAUUUCUGCUUACCUAUGCGGCAAUCUGUUCUGUUGGCCACCCAUUCAUAAACGAUAGUACAUGUGUCGUAAUCAUCUUUGCAUUUGAGAGAGUACCAAACACAGUGCUUUACCCACUGAUACAAACGGUACUUAGUAAAGCAUGCGUUGAAUUUUUGUCUAUCUUAUAAUGUAAGAUCCUGACAAUUAAGACUCAGGAUUAAGCUAAUUGUGCCAAGCACAUGAUAAAUGGUCAAUAAAGGAUUUUGGUUAUUAGUAUAACUCUAUGUGUAUUUCUCUUCCAAACUCUCCCAUAGCAUAUUCUAUUACUUCUUCCAUAGCAUUUCUUUUAUUUUUUAUUUUUUUUGAUGGAGUCUUGCUCUGUCGCCCAGGCUGGAGUGCGGUGGUGUGAUCUAGGCUCACUGCAACCUCCGCCUCCCGGGUUCAAGUGAUUCUCCUGCCUCAGCCUCCCGAGUAGCUGGGACUACAGGCGCGUGCCACCACGCUCGGCUAAUUUUUUGUAUUUUUAGUAGAGACGGGGUUUCACCGUGUUACCCAGGAUGGUCUCAAUCUCCUGACCUUGUGAUCCACCCAUCUUGGCCUCCCAAAGUGCUGGGAUUACAGGCGUGAGCCAUCGCGCCCAGCCCCAUAGUAUUUAUCACUUUCUUUUUCUUUUUUUUUUUUUUUUGAGACAAAGUCUCGCUCUGUUGCCCAGGCUGGAGUGCAGUGGUGCGAUCUGAGCUCACUGCAACCUCGCCUCCUGGGUUCAAGCGAUUCUCCUGCCUCAGCCUCCUGAGUAGCUGGGAUUACAGGCAGGCGCCACCAUGCCCGGCUAAUAUGUAUCUUUAGUAGAGACAGGGUUUCACCAUGUUGUUCAGGCUGGUCUCGAACUCCUGACCUCGUGAUCCACCUGCCUCGGCCUCCCAAAGUGCUGGAAUUACAGGCGUGAGUCACCGUGCCCAGCCGUAUUUAUCACUUUCUAGUUUGGAGUAUAGGGGUGUGUGUGUGUGUGUGUGUGUGUGUGUGUGUGUGUGUCUAAACACUCUACAAAACAGCAACACCUUAAAGGAAGGGGUUGUGUUAUUCAUCUUAGUGCCCUCCCUACCAAAAAUAGCUAGUUGAGUGCAUCAGGUGAGCUCAGUAAACAUAGCUGAAUAAAUUCACUUUUCGAGUUCUCUUUGUGAACCACCACAUAAAUCAUGAACGGGUUCUUAAGGUGUUGGGAUAAAGAUGAUGAUGAUGGUGAUGAUGAUGAUACUAGUAAUGACGGUGGCCCUGAAUUGCCUUUCAUUAUGACAAGGCUCUUGAACCACCUCAUCUUUCCCCUUUAUGAAAAUUUGGGCUGGAGGGAGCUAUGACUACACCAUAAAUGCUAACUAUAGCAUCUCUGGGUUCCAGGGAGAUAAAAUAGGUUGGCUGUUAUGGACUGAACUGUGUUUCCCCAAAAUUCAUGUGUUAAAGCCUAAUCCCCAGUGUGACUGUAGUCAGAAAUAGGGUCUUUAAGGAGGUGAUUAUGAUUAAAUGAGGUCCCAAGGAUAUGACCCUAAUCCAGAAAGACUGGUGUUGAAGAGGAAGAGACACGAGGAGGGUGCAGACACGGAGAAAAGGCCACGUGACGACACACCGAGAAGGCGGCCAUCUGCAUGCCAAGGAGAGAGGCAUCAGGAGAAACCAACUCUGCCAACAUCUUGACAUUGGACUUCCAGCCUCCAGAAUUGUGAGAAAAUUUAUUUCUGCUGUUUAAGCCACCCAGUCUGUGGUAUUUAGUGAUGGCAGUUGUAAGCAGACUAAAACAGUGGUCUUGGAGUCUUUAGAGAAAAAACAAUUGGCUGGGUGCAGUGGCUCACGCCUAUAAUCCCAACACUUUGGGAGGCUGAGGCGGGCGGAUCAGCUGAGGUUGGGAGUUUGAGACCAGCCUGACUAACAUGGUGAAACCCUAUCUCGACUAAAAAUACAAAAUUAGCUGGGCAUGCUGGCGCAUACCUGUAAUUCCAGCUACUUGAGAGGCUGAGGCAGGAGAAUCGCUUGAACCCAGGAGGUGGAGGUUGCAGUGAGCCGAGAUAGCACCAUUGCACUCCAGCCUGGACAACAAGAGUGAAACUGUCUCAAAAAAAAAUCUACUUCUUUUUGGUUUUUGUCCUCCUUCUUAAAAUUAUUUGAUUUGUGGCAUCCUGGAUCCCCCAUCUCACCCUGCUGUAUGCUUUCCUCCCUGGGUAUAAGUUUGGAAAGGGGAAAGGACAUGUUUUUAAGUCCCUGUGAUGUUUAAUUUUAUGUGUCAACUUGACUUGGCCACAAAGUACCCAACAUUCAUUGGUCGAACAUUAUUCUGGGUGUGUUUGUGAGGGUGUUUCUGGGAGAUAAACACAUGAAUCAGUAGACCAUGAAAAGCAGAUGGCCC